UACGUAGGCGGCGCUGUCAGUCGGGUGUGAAAGCCCACGGCUCAACCGUGGAAUUGCGCCCGAUACUGCAGUGCUUGAGGGAGACAGAGGUAAGCGGAACUGAUGGUGGAGCGGUGAAAUGCGUUGAUAUCAUCAGGAACACCGGUGGCGAAAGCGGCUUACUGGGUCUCUUCUGACGCUGAGGUACGAAAGCUAGGGAGCAAGG
rnacentral:rRNA from 1 species